rnacentral:rRNA from 1 species
AACGAACGCUGGCGGCAGGCCUAACACAUGCAAGUCGAGCGGACAUCUUCGGCUGUUAGCGGCGGACGGGUGCGUAACGCGUGGGAACGUGCCCUUUGCUUCGGAAUAGCCUCGGGAAACUGGGAGUAAUACCGGCUGUACCCUCUGGGGGAAAGAUUUAUCGGCAAAGGAUCGGCCCGCGUUGGAUUAGGUAGUUGGUGGGGUAAUGGCCUACCAAGCCGACGAUACAUAGCUGGGUUGAGAGGAUGAUCAGCCACACUGGGACUGAGACGCGGCCCAGACUCCUACGGGAGGCAGCAGUGGGGAAUCUUAGACAAUGGGGGAAACCCUGAUCUAGCCAUGCCGCGUGAGCGAUGAAGGCCGUAGGGUUGUAAAGCUCUUUCACCGGGGAAGAUAAUGACGGUACCCGGAGAAGAAGCCCCGGCUAACUCCGUG